CGAGCGGGAUCCAUCCAGUGGCAACACUGGGGAAGAUCUAGCGGCGAACGGGUGAGUAACACGUGAGAAACUUGCCCCGGAGUACGGGAUAACCCGAGGAAACUCGAGCUAAUACCGUAUGCCCUCUUCUGAUCGCAUGGUCGGAUGAGGAAAGAUUUAUCGCUCCGGGAGAGUCUCGCGGCCUAUCAGCUAGUUGGCGGGGUAACGGCCCACCAAGGCAUCGACGGGUAGCUGGUCUGAGAGGACGAUCAGCCACACUGGGACUGAGACACGGCCCAGACUCCUACGGGAGGCAGCAGUGGGGAAUCUUGCGCAAUGGGCGAAAGCCUGACGCAGCAACGCCGCGUGCGGGAUGAAGGCCUUCGGGUUGUAAACCGCUUUCAGCAGGGAAGAAAUUGACGGUACCUGCAGAAGAAGCCCCGGCCAACUACGUGCCAGCAGCCGCGGUAACACGUAGGGGGCGAGCGUUGUCCGGAUUUAUUGGGCGUAAAGAGCUCGUAGGCGGCUCACUAAGUCGGGUGUGAAACCUCCAGGCUCAACCUGGAGACGCCACCUGAUACUGGUGUGGCUAGAGUCCGGUAGGGGAGUGUGGAACUCCUGGUG
rnacentral:rRNA from 1 species